GAUGAACGCUGGCGGCGUGCUUAACACAUGCAAGUCGAACGAUGAAGCCCAGCUUGCUGGGUGGAUUAGUGGCGAACGGGUGAGUAACACGUGAGUAACCUGCCCUUGACUCUAGGAUAAGCCCGGGAAACUGGGUCUAUUACUGGAUAGGAACGUCUACCGCAUGGUGGGUGUUGGAAAGAAUUUCGGUCAUGGAUGGACUCGCGGCCUAUCAGCUUGUUGGUGAGGUAAUGGCUCACCAAGGCGACGACGGGUAGCCGGCCUGAGAGGGUGACCGGCCACACUGGGACUGAGACACGGCCCAGACUCCUACGGGAGGCAGCAGUGGGGAAUAUUGCACAAUGGGCGAAAGCCUGAUGCAGCGACGCCGCGUGAGGGAUGACGGCCUUCGGGUUGUAAACCUCUUUCAGUAGGGAAGAAGCGAAAGUGACGGUACCUGCAGAAGAAGCACCGGCUAACUACGUG
rnacentral:rRNA from 1 species